UACGUAGGGUGCGAGCGUUAAUCGGAAUUACUGGGCGUAAAGCGUGCGCAGGCGGUUCGUUGUGUCUGAUGUGAAAGCCCCGGGCUCAACCUGGGAAUGGCAUUGGAAACUGGCGAGCUAGAGUGUGGCAGAGGGGGGGUGGAAUUCCUGGUGUAGCGGUGAAAUGCGCAGAUAUCAGGAGGAACACCGAUGGCGAAGGCAGGUCUCUGGGCAUUAACUGACGCUGAGGAGCGAAAGCAUGGGGAGCGAACAGG
rnacentral:rRNA from 1 species